GCUCUGGGACCGCUGACCCCAGAUGCCACGCCAUUAUCAUUUUAUAAUGUAAGUUAUAUCACUUUUAAUAUAAGUGCAACUCCUGAGUUCAUAUUGCCUUCACUGAAUGGGUCCCUCUUGUUUUCACAGUGAAUUCACAAGUCAAAAUCAGAUAAACAGACAGGAACAUCAGCCUUCUUGGUGCCAGAUGGAAAUACUUGAGAAUAGCAAGAAAAACGGUUCAAGUAGGCCCGACAACAGAGAUCACAGACAACCACAAGAAGUGACCCCAGGAGGGCAACAGACCAUAUGUUGGCAGUUUUUGGAAGGCAGGUCCUAGCCACGCACUCGUAUACCGGAAAACCACCAGUAAAAUUCAACAAAAAAACCUCAUAAACUACGUCACAAACCAAUUUGAUGUGGACACUUCAAUGACCAAGCAAGCAAUGGCACAGAACUGUUCAGAUGAGGCAAAAAUGACACCCACACAAUGAUCAAAUAAUGAAAUAAUAAAUAUAUUUUGCAUAUGACCAUUUCA